AGCGAACGCUGGCGGCAUGCCUAACACAUGCAAGUCGAACGAACCUUUCGGGGUUAGUGGCGGACGGGUGAGUAACACGUGGGAACGUGCCUUUAGGUUCGUAAUAACUCACGGAAACUUGUGCUAAUACCGAAUGUGCCCUUCGGGGGCAAGAUUUAUCGCCUUUAGAGCGGCCCGCGUCUGAUUAGCUAGUUGGUUGAGGUAAUGGCUCACCAAGGCGAAGAUCAGUAGCUGGUCUGAGAGGAUGAUCAGCCACAUUUGGACUGAGACACGGCCCAAACUCCUACGGGAGGAAGCAGUGGGGAAUCAUGCGCAAUGGGCGAAAGACUGACGCAGCCAUGCCGCGUGAAUGAUGAAGGUCUUAGGAUUGUAAAAUUCUUUCACCGGGGACAAUAAUGACGGUACCCGGAGAAGAAGCCCCGGCUAACUUCGUG
rnacentral:rRNA from 1 species